rnacentral:lncRNA from 1 species
UGGUGCAUUGUAUAAAGUCUCUCAAGAAGGCAUUUGGAACGGUUUCACUAUAAGGAAAUGGGCUGAAGGCCGGUUUAGCAAGUGCAGGAUGUGAACUUGAUCAUCUCCGGCACCACAAAAAAGAAAAAAGGAUAUGCUUAUCCUAUUUUAAAUAUUACCAAGUGUGUGCAUGUACCAAACACCAUAUGGUGCCCUAUAAGUGUGCACAGUCCUUAUGGUUUAACAAAUCAGUUAAAAGUGAAAAAUUAAAAUUAAAAAAAAAAGAUUGAACCAAAAGAACAUGCUCUUGGUCUUUCUAAGGUAGAGUGCCAGUCUCCAUUGCAAACAGUGGCCCUUGAAAGAGCAAGCUUCAAGGAAGGACAGGCAGGGGGGGGGGGGGCAUCCUGAAGCCUGUCAGAACCGUGGGCCUUAUCCAAAGUGAAAAAGUAGCUGUCGCUUGUUAGAGCAGAGUCCUCGGCACAGUGUGUCCGUCCUGUUUGGAAGUGUUCCCAAAAGGACUCGUGAGCUCUGUGCCAUCAAGUACUUCCCUUCAUCAAGCUGAGGAGAGCCUUCUGGUGCGAAGUGCACUGAACUACCAGGGUGCUUGCCCCAGCAGACCACAGCAAAGUGACCUCGCUUCUGGAGGUGUCAGAAGAUUCCAUCCACGGAGGCAGAGGCAAUUAAGUCAGAGCCCUUUGACUAUCCUUCCCAAUCCAAGACUGCGCUCAAGAUGAAGCGUUGGCAAAUUGCGGUCCAGAGUGGGCCAAUCCUGUCACAAGUCGAGCAUGGCCUUUAUGUCUCUCAAUGGGGAAAAAAAAAUCAAGAACAAAGUCAUACUUUGUGAUUCAUGGAAAUGAUCUGACUUCAGAUUUCAGUGUCUACAAAUAAAGUUUUAUUGGAAUACCA